rnacentral:rRNA from 1 species
GAAUUUUAUAUAUUUAUGCGAAUUAAAGGUUAAAUUUAAUUAAAAAUGUAUUGGUAUAUUUGAUUGGGAGGAUUGUUAAAUUAGAUAAACUUUAAUUAAUAUAAAAUAUAAAUUAAUAUAAAUUAAUUAAGGAGGAAAUUUUAAUUGAAUAAGAAUUAAUUACCUCAGGGAUAACAGCGUAAUAGUUUCGGAAAGUUCAUAUUUAUGAAAUUGAUUGC